UACAGAGGGGGCAAGCGUUGUUCGGAAUUACUGGGCGUAAAGGGCGCGUAGGCGGCCUUCUAAGUCGAACGUGAAAUCCCCGGGCUCAACCCGGGAACUGCGUCCGAUACUGGAAGGCUUGAAUUCGGGAGAGGGAUGCGGAAUUUCAGGUGUAGCGGUGAAAUGCGUAGAUAUCUGGAGGAACACCGGUGGCGAAGGCGGCAUCCUGGACCGGCAUUGACGCUGAGGCGCGAAAGCCAGGGGAGCGAACGGG
rnacentral:rRNA from 1 species